UGGGGAAUUUUGGACAAUGGGCGAAAGCCUGAUCCAGCCAUGCCGCGUGAGUGAAGAAGGCCUUCGGGUUGUAAAGCUCUUUUAGUCGGAAAGAAAGAGUUGCAAUGAAUAAUUGUGAUUUAUGACGGUACCGACAGAAAAAGCACCGGCUAACUACGUGCCAGCAGCCGCGGUAACACGUAGGGUGCGAGCGUUAAUCGGAAUUACUGGGCGUAAAGGGUGCGCAGGCGGUCUUGCAAGUCAGAUGUGAAAGCCCCGGGCUUAACCUGGGAAUUGCGUUUGAAACUACAAGGCUAGAGUGCAGCAGAGGGGAGUGGAAUUCCAUGUGUAGCAGUGAAAUGCGUAGAGAUGUGGAAGAACACCGAUGGCGAAGGCAGCUCCCUGGGUUGACACUGACGCUCAUGCACGAAAGCGUGGGGAGCAAACA
rnacentral:rRNA from 1 species